UAAAAAGGGACAUUCUCACCCUGCACUGAUGCAGAGUAUAAGGAGCGCGAGUAGCUGCUUUUCUGGAGGCACAGAUACAGAGUCAUGUGAGAGAGCCAAGAGUCCCUGGAGAGCAUGAAAUUAAUAUUUUUACCACCUCACAGUGCGACAUGCACAGAAUAACAACCAGUGUCCAGAAUGACACAGAUGAGGACAUAAAGAAGAUUGCACAGAGAUUAAGUACUAUUUUCACUGUUGCCUCUAAAGUGCAUGAACCUUACAUAGGUAAGCGACGGUUCCUGGAAACCUGACAGUCCUCCUGAUGAGCUGUUGAGACUCGUCUUCAAGACAUUAAAGUUUAUCUCAAACUAGAAAAGUUUUUCAUGAUGCUGAUCCUGUCUAAGCAGGACUUGGGGAUUACAGCUGCCUGUCAUAAUCACCUGGGAUUUAGUGCCUGUCAUUAUCACAGGCACUAAACCCCCACUUUUCUUAACAGUUAAAAUCCACAACUUCUGAGUUCAGUACAAUUUUCAGAUUAUAUUUUUUAGCUCAUUUAUUAGGAUCCUCUUCUGCUGUCACCUGGGCCGCUGACACCUCUCUGCUCUGGUGUUCCACGGCAAGCCAGACGCUGUACCUUUGGGAGAAGCUCUUUUCUGUCCUCACAACCCACUUCCGCGCCUUCCUGGCACUGCCCUGAAAGGUCACUUCUCUUUCCCUCCUGUGGUGGCUGCCCCAGUAAAACACUGUUCGGGUUGCAGAUAUGAGGAGUGGUCACGGCAUAAAGCUACAGUGUUCGCUUCCAAGUUCUUUGGAGUGUAACACUGAGAGAGCGAGCAGCCCCGGUGCCGGCAGGACCCGCAGCACAUCGCUGCCGUGCAACGGGGGGGGUUCCUGGGCUGGGGGAACCUCGGGGCGAGCCGAGAGAGGCGCCAGGAGCU